ACUUGUUUGUGCUCUAGGAAGUCCCCAAGAGCACAGGAGCCCAGAGACCUCGCAGGAGGAAGCAGCAGUAUCUGUGUUCCAAAUCCUGCCCAGCCCCCAGGCAGCCAUGCCUCCUGCCCCCAACAGGAUUCCUCACAUCCCAGGACCAGCUGGAAAAGGUGGUGAGAGUUGGAAAGAGACUGCUCAGUGAGGACUGCCCUGCGAACCAGCUUGGAUUCAUCCCGUUCACCUCCACGUUCUGCACUCGGGGCCGAGGGAAGGGAGGCAGCCCAGGCAGCUAGAGAACUUGAUGAAACACACUCAAUCUGAAUCUCGCUUGAUCGUCAUGCUGACCCAGUGAGUCUACUCAGGGUCAGGCAUCCUUUCCGACUACUCACUCAGCAGCGGAUCCCCACCCGCCUCUGACUCCCAGUGUCUUUCGGCUCCAACGUAAGUUCACCGAACGUCUAAGAGCUGAGGAUUCAAAGGCAUGUAAGACCGCCCCUGCCCUCAGCUGCAAGACCUGUCCGCGAUCCUACGAGCCCCAUUCCGCCCUCUUUCCCCGACCUUGGUCCCCCAUGGGCCCUACAACCAGGUCCCCGACUGACACCUUGACCAGCGAACACAGCAAACAGGCCCGCAGAUGCCGCAGGUCCUUCGGCACCGUCUCCAGGGCCAUCUUCGCCGAUGGGAAGAACAACAGGGAGAUAGACGACCACAGCCUGUGCACCCGCAGGAAGUAAAUAGCUCGUUACCCAGAAUGCCCACCACUUCCGGCGCUUAGACUUCCUCUUCCGGUGUGGGCGGACGCCAGCUCCGCCCCUACCCCCGCCAGAGGAGAUGGUUUCUCCCGCCAGCAGGCGGGGAGGCUGGGCGGCCGGCCGCCACCUGGGCCGGAGCGCGUCGCAGCCACCUGAGCCCGCCGAGGGCGCGGCGGAGGCUGUGUGGGGUAGUCAGCGGGCCCCCGGGGCGGGGGGGCGGCUGCGCUUGCGCGGGAGUGUGUCGGGCUGAGCCGCAGCGCCGAGACGCGGGCUGUUUGAUCUGGGCUGGUGGCCCUGGGCGUCGGUCCUGUUCCCCGAUGGUAACCCGAAGUUUGUUUUUUUUUGUUUUGUCUCCCCGUUUUAGAAGCAUUGGGGGCAGUGAAUCCACUGUCUCCCUCUGGAUUGUCUCUGCAGAGACCGAGAAGAAAUCCAGGGACAGCCCCACCCCUCCUUCCUAACUGCGAGAGCGCUAUAGGGUUUCCACUUGCUUCCCACAGGAAUGCUGGCCUGGGAGCUACGGCGGAAAAAAAUGCGUAUUUAUCUUUUAAAACUCCGUCUGUUUGCUCGUUCCGGCUGAUAAUUUAUACUUUGCGCAGUUCUUAGCGCUUAGACACGGUUCCUUUACUAAAGACCAUUUGUAGGAGAUUAGGUGUCCUUUUUUUCCCUUUCAUUUCACCGUCUAGGAAGCGAAAUGCCUUGUUCUAUAGGCACUAAACCACCACCCCUACCAAACCUUUCUCGGGGAAGCAGAAGGGGAACUUGUGCCUUGUGAGGAAGCGACAAAGGCCCCUUCUGGCCCUGGAGACUUCACGCCAAUGGAGCACCAGCUCUCUGUCCUCGCAAUAGCCCGAGUGCAGGCAGAACGCAGUCAUUUGUGUUUAUCUGAGAGGAGCUUUGGGAUAUAAAUAGUUUCAGGCCCCGCUGCGCUGUCAUUCCAGCCCAGCCUCCUGAUUGAGCUGCUUCCGGGCGGGCUUUCUUCUUGUUGGCGGUCCCAUGCUGUGUUCAGAUGGGCUCUGUGACAGGUUUGGAUGUUUUCUAUCACUGAAUAAAACUUUCCACUUUGGAACAUAUUUUCUACACUCUAUUAUCUCAUGUAAGUCCUGCAACAACUAUUAAGUAGGCCCAUUUUAUGGACUGAAAAAGCGAGGCACAGAGUAUUUGCCCAAGGUCUGAGUCACUGAAGUAUGAUAAUGUGUGAAGUGAACAGUAUAAUAAUAAUGACUGAAGCACAGUAAGAAUCCAGUCAUGCUUUCUCCUUCCCUGAUCUCACUAAGCCACACUUUUAGGGGCUUACAAACCAGUUCUUAUUGCCAAGCCCUCUACUCUACCCUAUCCUUUCAUGAAUCGGAGCCUAGCCUCUGAUAACAUAAAUAAUUUACUUCUCUUGAUGUAGAAAGAGAUGACGUUGUUACCCUGAGUGACAGUCACGACAGAACAAAACCACAAGACCAGACCACAUUUGUGGAUAAAUAUAUUAGCAAAUAAAUAUAUUUCUUAACAUAGUGCCUGAAAAAAAAAAAAAAAAAA
rnacentral:lncRNA from 1 species